rnacentral:rRNA from 1 species
CCUACGGGAGGCAGCAGUGAGGAAUAUUGGUCAAUGGGCGCAAGCCUGAACCAGCCAAGUAGCGUGAAGGAUGACGGCCCUACGGAUUGUAAACUUCUUUUAUAAAGGAAUAAAGUGAGGGCCGUGUGCUUUUUUGUAUGUACUUUAUGAAUAAGGAUCGGCUAACUCCGUGCCAGCAGCCGCGGUAAUACGGAGGAUCCGAGCGUUAUCCGGAUUUAUUGGGUUUAAAGGGUGCGUAGAUGGGCUGUUAAGUCAGCGGUGAAAGUUUGCGGCUCAACCGUAAAAUUGCAGUUGAAACUGGCGGCCUUGAGUAGAGUUGAGGCAGGCGGAAUUCGUGGUGUAGCGGUGAAAUGCUUAGAUAUCACGCAGAACUCCGAUUGCGAAGGCAGCCUACCAAGC